rnacentral:rRNA from 1 species
GAUGAACGCUGGCGGCGUGCCUAAUACAUGCAAGUCGAGCGAACAGAUGAGGAGCUUGCUCCUCUGACGUUAGCGGCGGACGGGUGAGUAACACGUGGAUAACCUACCUAUAAGACUGGGAUAACUUCGGGAAACCGGAGCUAAUACCGGAUAAUAUAUUGAACCGCAUGGUUCAAUAGUGAAAGACGGUUUUGCUGUCACUUAUAGAUGGAUCCGCGCCGCAUUAGCUAGUUGGUAAGGUAACGGCUUACCAAGGCAACGAUGCGUAGCCGACCUGAGAGGGUGAUCAGCCACACUGGAACUGAGACACGGUCCAGACUCCUACGGGAGGCAGCAAUAGGGAAUCUUCCACAAUGGGCGAAAGCCUGACGGAGCAACGCCGCGUGAGUGAUGAAGGUCUUCGGAUCGUAAAACUCUGUUAUUAGGGAAGAACAAAUGUGUAAGUAACUAUGCACGUCUUGACGGUACCUAAUCAGAAAGCCACGGCUAACUACGUG